rnacentral:rRNA from 1 species
UACGUAGGGUGCAAGCGUUGUCCGGAAUUAUUGGGCGUAAAGAGCUCGUAGGCGGCUUGUCGCGUCGGCUGUGAAAACCUGGGGCUCAACCCCGAGCCUGCAGCCGAUACGGGCAAGCUAGAAUUCGGUAGGGGAGACUGGAAUUCCUGGUGUAGCGGUGAAAUGCGCAGAUAUCAGGAGGAACACCGGUGGCGAAGGCGGCAUCCUGGACCGGUAUUGACGCUGAGGAGCGAAAGCCAGGGGAGCAAACGGG